UACAUAGGGGGCAAGCGUUAUCCGGAAUUAUUGGGCGUAAAGGGUGCGUAGACGGUUUAUUAAGUCUUUGGUUAAAGUGCUAAGCUUAACUUAGUGAUGCCAAGGAAACUGAUAGACUUGAGUUUGGUAGAGGCAAGUGGAAUUCCAUGUGUAGAGGUAAAAUUCGUAAAUAUAUGGAGGAACACCAGUGGCGAAGGCGGCUUGCUGGGCCAUAACUGACGUUGAGGCACGAAAGCGUGGGGAGCAAACAGG
rnacentral:rRNA from 1 species